rnacentral:tRNA from 1 species
UUAGGUCUUAUAUUCAUGGAUGAUAUUAGAAUGCAAUCCUGAAGGUGUAAGUAAAUACUAAGACUUAA